UUUUGACAGUAUACGAUAAAU
rnacentral:piRNA from 1 species